UACGGAGGGUGCUAGCGUUGUUCGGAAUUACUGGGCGUAAAGGGCGCGUAGGCGGCCGUUUGCGUCGGAUGUGAAAGCCCGGGGCUCAACCUCGGAACGGCAUUCGAUACGGGACGGCUGGAGACCGGGAGAGGAGAGUGGAAUAGCCAGUGUAGAGGUGAAAUUCGUAGAUAUUGGCUGGAACACCAGUGGCGAAGGCGACUCUUUGGCCUGUAACUGACACUGAGGCGCGGAAAGCGUGGGGAGCAAACAGG
rnacentral:rRNA from 1 species